AGCUUGUCGGUGAGGUAAAGGCUCACCAAGGCUCCGACGGGUACCAGGCGUGAGAGCGUGAUCUGGCACAUCGGGACUGAGACACUGCCCGGACAUCUACGGAUGGCUGCAGCAACGAAUAUUCCGCAAUGGACGAAAGUCUGACGGAGCGACGCCGCGUGCAGGAUGAAGCCCUUCGGGGUGUAAACUGCUGUCAGGGGUUAGGAAGAAACUGACCAACCCCAAAGGAAGCCUCGGCUAACUCUGUGCCAGCAGCCGCGGUAAUACAGAGGAGGCAAGCGUUGUUCGGAAUUACUGGGCUUAAAGCGUGUGUAGGCGGGAUGGAAGGUGUCAAGUGAAAGCCCUCGGCUUAACCGAGGAACUGCUAGGCAAACCACCAUUCUUGAGGCCAGCAGGGGUACCCGGAACCUUGGGUGGAGCGGUGAAAUGCGUUGAUAUUCAAGGGAACGCCGAUGGCGAAAGCGGGGUACUGGGCUGGUUCUGACGCUGAGACACGAAAGCGUGGGGAGCAAACAGGAUUAGAUACCCUGGUAGUCCACGCCGUAAACGAUGCGCACUAGGUAUCAGAAUCUCUGACGAUUUUGGUGCCGUAGCAAAAGCGAUAAGUGCGCCGCCUGGGGAGUACGGCCGCAAGGCUAAAACUCAAAGGAAUUGACGGGGGCCCACACAAGCGGUGGAGCAUGUGGAUUAAUUCGACGCGAAGAACCCUACCUGGGUUUGACAUGCUAGGAUGCACCGAUGAAAGUCGGCUAUGCUACCUUCGGGUGAAACUAGCACAGGUGCUGCAUGGCUGUCGUCAGCUCGUGCUGUGAAGUGUCGGGUUAAGUCCCUUAACGAGCGGAACCCCUAUCGCUAGUUGCCAGCGGGUAAUGCCGGGGACUCUAGCGAGACUGCCGGCGUCAAGCCGGAGGAAGGUGGGGACGACGUCAAGUCAUCAUGGCCUUUAUGCCCAGGGUGUCACACGUGCUACAAUGGCAGCUACAGAGCGACGCGAUACCGCGAGGUGGAGCAAAUCGCAGAAAAGUUGCCUCAGUUCGGAUUGGAGUCUGCAACUCGACUCCAUGAAGUUGGAAUCGCUAGUAAUCGCGUAUCAGCCAUGACGCGGUGAAUGUGUUCCUGAGCCUUGUACACACCGCCCGUCAAGUCAUGGAAGCUGGUAGUACCCGAAGUCCGCUUAGCUAACUUCGUGAGGCGGCGGCCGACGGUAAGACCGGUGACUGGGACUAAGUCGGAACAAGGUAGCCGUAGGGGAACCUGCGGCUG
rnacentral:rRNA from 1 species